rnacentral:rRNA from 1 species
CGGACGGGUGAGUAACGCGUAAGAAUUUCCCUUUAGGAAGGGAAUAACAGUUGGAAACAACUGCUAAUGCCCUAUAUGCUCCUUACUGGAGUGAAAGAAAAAUUUCGCCUGAAGAAAAGCUUGCGUCUGAUUAGCUAGUUGGUAAGGUAAUGGCUUACCAAGGCGACGAUCAGUAGCUGGUUUGAGAGAACGAUCAGCCACACUGGAACUGAGACACGGUCCAGACUCCUACGGGAGGCAGCAGUGGGGAAUUUUCCGCAAUGGGCGAAAGCCUGACGGAGCAAUACCGCGUGAGGGAUGACAAUCUCUUAGAUUGUAAACCUCUUUUGUCAAGGAGGAAUCAAUGACGUGUACUUGACGAAUAAGCAUCGGCUAACUCCGUGCCAGCAGCCGCGGUAAUACGGGGGAUGCAAGUGUUAUCCGGAAUCACUGGGCGUAAAGCGUCUGUAGGUGGUUUAAAAAGUCUAGGGUUAAAAAUUGAAGCUUAACUUCAAAAAUGCCAUAGAAACUAUUAGACUUGAGUUUGGUAGGGGUAGAGGGAAUUUCCAGUGGAGCGGUGAAAUGUGUAGAGAUUGGAAAGACCACCAAAAGCGAAGGCACUCAACUGGGCCAAAACUGACACUGAGAGACGAAAGCUAGGGGAGCAAAUGGGAUUAGAUACCCCAGUAGUCCUAGCUGUAAACGAUGGAUACUAGGUAUUGUGUGUAUCAACCCAUGCAGUGUCGUAGCUAACGCGUUAAGUAUCCCGCCUGGGAAGUAUGCUCGCAAGAGUGAAACUCAAGGAAUUGACGGGGGCCCGCACAAGCGGUGGAGCAUGUGGUUUAAUUCGAUG